CCUACGGGGGGCAGCAGUGAGGAAUAUUGGUCAAUGGACGAGAGUCUGAACCAGCCAAGUAGCGUGAAGGAUGACUGCCCUAUGGGUUGUAAACUUCUUUUAUAUGGGAAUAAAAUGUUCCACGUGUGGGAUUUUGUAUGUACCAUAUGAAUAAGGAUCGGCUAACUCCGUGCCAGCAGCCGCGGUAAUACGGAGGAUCCGAGCGUUAUCCGGAUUUAUUGGGUUUAAAGGGAGCGUAGGUGGAUUGUUAAGUCAGUUGUGAAAGUUUGCGGCUCAACCGUAAAAUUGCAGUUGAAACUGGCAGUCUUGAGUACAGUAGAGGUGGGCGGAAUUCGGGGUGUAGCGGUGAAAUGCUUAGAUAUCACGAAGAACUCCGAUUGCGAAGGCAGUUCACUGGACUGCAACUGACACUGAGGCUCGAAAGUGUGGGUAUCAAACAGGAUUAGAUACCCGUGUAGUC
rnacentral:rRNA from 1 species